rnacentral:rRNA from 1 species
GUCUACGGCCAUGCUACCCUGAACAAGCCUGAUCCCGUCUGAUCUUGGAAGCUAAGCAGAGUCAGGCCUGGUUAAUACUUGGAUGGAAGACCAGGUGCUGUAAUUG